CAAUGGCGCAUACAGAGGGAGGCGAGCCCGCGAGGGGGAGCAAAUCCCAAAAAAGGCGUCCCAGUUCGGAUUGUAGUCUGCAACCCGACUACAUGAAGCCGGAAUCGCUAGUAAUCGCGGAUCAGAAUGCCGCGGUGAAUACGUUCCCGGGUCUUGUACACACCGCCCGUCACGCCAUGGGAGUCGGAAAUGCCCGAAGUCGGUGACCCAACCGCAAGGAGGGAGCCGCCGAAGGCAGGUCCGGUAACUGGGGUGAAGUCGUAACAAGGUAAC
rnacentral:rRNA from 1 species